rnacentral:rRNA from 1 species
CUACGGGGGGCUGCAGUGAGGAAUAUUGCACAAUGGGGGGAACCCUGAUGCAGCAACGCCGCGUGAAGGAUGACGCAUUUCGGUGUGUAAACUCCUUUUAUAUGUCAAGAAAAUGACGGUAGCAUAUGAAUAAGCACCGGCUAACUCCGUGCCAGCAGCCGCGGUAAUACGGAGGGUGCAAGCGUUACUCGGAAUCACUGGGCGUAAAGGACGCGUAGGCGGGUUGGAAAGUCAAGUGUGAAAUCCUACAGCUUAACUGUAGAACUGCACUUGAAACUUCUAAUCUAGAGUAUGGGAGGGGGAGAUGGAAUUAGUGGUGUAGGGGUAAAAUCCGUAGAUAUCACUAGGAAUACCUAAAGCGAAGGCGAUCUCCUGGAACAUUACUGACGCUAAGGCGUGAAAGCGUGGGGAGCAAACAGGAUUAGAUACCCCCGUAGUC